GGCCUUGUUUGGUAAGCGUGUUGC
rnacentral:siRNA from 1 species